GACGAACGCUGGCGGCGUGCUUAAUACAUGCAAGUCGAACGGAAGUAGCAAUACUUUAGUGGCGCACGGGUGAGGAACACGUAGAUGAUCUGCCCUUGAGAUCGAGAUAACCCCGGGAAACUGGGGCUAAUACCGGAUAAUGCAUUAUUAUUGGAUUAAUAAUGUUAAAGCGGCGCAAGUCGCACUUGAGGAUGAGUCUGCGACCUAUCAGCUAGUUGGCGGUGUAAUGGACCACCAAGGCAAAGACGGGUAGCUGAUCUGAGAGGAUGAUCAGCCACACUGGGACUGAGACACGGCCCAGACUCCUACGGGAGGCAGCAGUAGGGAAUAUUGCGCAAUGGGCGGAAGCCUGACGCAGCGACGCCGCGUGAGGGAUGAAGGCCUUCGGGUCGUAAAGCCCUCGUUGAGGGAGAGAAAGCUACUGUCGGUUAAUACCCGGCAGUGGUGAUAGUAUCCCUAGAGAAAGCACCGGCUAACUACGUG
rnacentral:rRNA from 1 species